ncrna:unclassified sequences DTF805b RNA
ACGGAGGCCACCGAAAAUCCGGAAAAGAGUAGGCG